AGCGAACGCUGGCGGCAGGCCUAAUACAUGCAAGUCGAACGGAUCCUUCGGGAUUAGUGGCGGACGGGUGAGUAACACGUGGGAACGUGCCCUUUGGUUCGGAACAACUCAGGGAAACUUGAGCUAAUACCGGAUAAGCCCUUGGGGAAGAUUAUCGCCAUUGGAGCGGCCCGCGUCUGAUUAGCUAGUUGGUGGGGUAAAGGCCUACCAAGGCGACGAUCAGUAGCUGGUCUGAGAGGAGAUCAGCCACACUGGGACUGAGACACGGCCCA
rnacentral:rRNA from 1 species